UGGAUUUGUUGAUUGAACUUGAGAGUUGUUUAUUAAUGGUGUUGGAAGGAGACUGGAUUUGUUGAUUAACUUGAGAGCUGUUUAUUAAUGGUGUGGGGAGGAGGCUGGAUUUGUUGAUUGAACUUGAGAGUUGAUGGUGUUGAGAGAUGGUAGAUUUGUUGAUUGAACUUGAGAAUUGUUUAUUAAUGGUGUUGGGAGGAGACUGGAUUUGUUGAUUGAGUUUGAGAGUUGUUUAAUGGUGUUG